rnacentral:lncRNA from 1 species
AUGAAUGAUUUAACAGAUGAGGAGGACGGCUCAGUGUCUCCAGUCCCGAGCUGUCUGUCUCUGAAGAGUGACAGGUCUAAGGACAAACGUAUAAACUUCAGUAAUGAACCUGGACCCUCAGACACAAAACAGAGAGCAGUGUCUCCAGUCCCCAGCUGUCUGUCUGUGAAGAGUGACUCGUCUAGAGAAGAACCUCUAAACUUCAGUAAUGAACCUGGACCCUCAGACACAAAACAGAGAGGAGUGUCUCCAGUCCCCAGCUGUCUGUCUGUGAAGAGUGACUGGUCUAGAGAAGAACCUCCAGAAUUCAGUAAUGAACCUGGACCCUCAGACACAAAACAGAGAGGAGUGUCUCCAGUCCCCAGCUGUCUGUCUGUGAAGAGUGACUGGUCUAGAGAAGAACCUCCAGAAUUCAGUAAUGAACCUGGACCCUCAGACACAAAGUAAGAGUCUGUUUCUACUGUAAACUGACCUGAAGAGGAUUCAGUUUUUAUGUUCUCUGAUAAUCUAAUGUUUUAUAAUUACAUGAGCCCAGUAGAGUACAGGAAAGAAACAC